GGGUCAGUAGGUUGGUCGUGCCACCGGUACGUACUGGUCUCACUGAUUCCUCCUUCCCGAAGAACCGUAAUGCCAUUAAUUUGGUGUUGCGGGGAAACAGGACUGUUACUUUUAAAAAAUUAGAGUGUUUAAAGCAAGCUAACGCUUGAAUACAUUAGCAUGGAAUAAUGAAAUAGGACGAUCGAUCCUAUUUUGUUGGUUUCUAGGAUUGACGUA
rnacentral:rRNA from 1 species